ACUCUACUAGCCAGUGAGUUGAAUAACAGGUCUAAAAGAUUAAAGGUCACAAGGUAUGGGAUUAGUCUAAUCCAAACCUGAUGUUUACAAGACACAUGUAUGGUGUUUACCCAUCACCAUCAGUUUUUCUUUCAGCCAGCAAAAAGAAGUGAGAAAUUCUACAGUGUGAGUCAAGGAGCUUUUUGUGAAGUCAGAGAGGUAUUAUCCUGGGAGGACUGCCAAGACAGGACAACCUGGUCAGACAUAGAUGUCUAUACUGCAGCUUUCUCAGACUCCAAGAGAUGAACCACAGCUGCAGGGUCCUCACUCAGAAGUGAAUUCACUCCAUAUUGCUAAAAUGAGCUCAACAGAACCAGGCUUGACAUUCCUAUUUGGCAUGCCCUCUAGCAGCAAAAUCCUUUCUCUGCUGUUUGACAUUCACCUUUUUUUGAUGUCAAGGGCUGAGACAGCCCUUCAUACUUCCCUGUCUGACGCACACACCAUCCCUUGAUUCUGCAUUCCCAACUUGCAGAUUUCUUUACUUAGAGUCCAAUUCUUCUGUGGUAGUCUUUCCUAUGAGCAGGUGAGUUCUUUC